CUGGCUCAGAUUGAACGCUGGCGGCAGGCCUAACACAUGCAAGUCGAGCGGUAGAGAGAAGCUUGCUUCUCUUGAGAGCGGCGGACGGGUGAGUAAUGCCUAGGAAUCUGCCUGGUAGUGGGGGAUAACGUUCGGAAACGGACGCUAAUACCGCAUACGUCCUACGGGAGAAAGCAGGGGACCUUCGGGCCUUGCGCUAUCAGAUGAGCCUAGGUCGGAUUAGCUAGUUGGUGAGGUAAUGGCUCACCAAGGCGACGAUCCGUAACUGGUCUGAGAGGAUGAUCAGUCACACUGGAACUGAGACACGGUCCAGACUCCUACGGGAGGCAGCAGUGGGGAAUAUUGGACAAUGGGCGAAAGCCUGAUCCAGCCAUGCCGCGUGUGUGAAGAAGGUCUUCGGAUUGUAAAGCACUUUAAGUUGGGAGGAAGGGCAGUUACCUAAUACGUGAUUGUUUUGACGUUACCGACAGAAUAAGCACCGGCUAACUCUGUGCCAGCAGCCGCGGUAAUACAGAGGGUGCAAGCGUUAAUCGGAAUUACUGGGCGUAAAGCGCGCGUAGGUGGUUAGUUAAGUUGGAUGUGAAAUCCCCGGGCUCAACCUGGGAACUGCAUUCAAAACUGACUGACUAGAGUAUGGUAGAGGGUGGUGGAAUUUCCUGUGUAGCGGUGAAAUGCGUAGAUAUAGGAAGGAACACCAGUGGCGAAGGCGACCACCUGGACUGAUACUGACACUGAGGUGCGAAAGGCGUGGGAGCAA
rnacentral:rRNA from 1 species